GAAAAAAGAAAAGCGGAGCAGAAGCACACGGCCUGGAGAAACUGGCAUAUUUGGGUUGGAGAGAUUUACCGCAACACUGUGCUAUUUUGGGACGUGCUGAGCUCCAGUGCCAAGGAGGGAGAUGCCCGUCACACUAAGCAGUACUGAGGAGGCCGCUUAUCUUGUGGGAGCAAACGAGUCUUAAUCAUGGUGGAAUCUGAAGAAAAGAUUCAUUUGAAAAUCAGAUGGAGUUUUACCUGUGUAACAGAGCUAUGGCUGCCCUGAAACUUGCUUUGUAGACCAGGUUGGCCUUGAACUCACAAGAUCUGCCUGCAUCUUUCUCCUGAGUGCUGGGAUGAAAGGAGUGUAUUAUUCUGCCUCAUGAUUCUGCCUCAUGAUUCUUUAAUUAUUAGUGUGUCUGUGUGUGUGUAUGUAUGUGACUAUAUAAGUGCAACCUACUAGAUCUUUUAGUGUUGUUUCUAUGUACAUAUUUUAGGGCUGACUACUUGGUAAUGUGAUAAUCAUGUAGAAGGCCUCAUCACUGUGGAGGACUAAUUUCUCCAUCUCUCAGCAGUCAUUAAUUUCCUGUAGCUCUUUAUAUAAGGAUAGGGUGCCCUUGAGAUUCUUCUCAUCCAUAUUGACCUCUCAACUGGUGGUAUCAUUCUUCAGGCCUUAUUUAGGAAGUCAUAUUGUUGACAUGUCAUGAAUAUAGCUCCUUUCUCAUAUCUAGAAGACACAUCACAUCAGGAUAUUCCUGGUUCUUUGGCUCUUACAAUUUCUUUUGCCCUUACUUAUGCAAUUUUUUUGCUGAACACUAGGUGUAGGGAUUGUUUUGCAGAUGUCUCAGCUCAGAGGGCUAGACAUCUUAGAGUCAUUUUGUCUCGGUCGUUUAAUCAGUUGUAGCUUCCUAUAAUGAUCUCUCUUUCCAACAAAAAAUCUUCUAUGAUGAGAGGUGACAGAUACUACCACACUUUAUGGAAACAGAAUAAUGUUUAAGUGCAUUCAAAUACUUGUCCUCAUCCCUGAAUCCCAAACUGUCUAAUAGCAUGAACUGACUAGAUUAAGCAACACACAUUUACUUGCAUUAGUCUUUCGAAGUUCUAAUUUCCAAACAUCUUCAGGUUGGGGAGUAGGAGCUCACCAUUAGAUUUUUACAGAAGCAUAACUCAUCUGACGUUAACCAUUACACUCUGGGUCUUAUUUCUAGGUGAAGUGGCUAAGAGGCAUUGACCACUGAGAGGAAGUCAGCUGAGUAUGGAGAGGGGCUGAUUACCCAUUAAGCCCAGAGCAAGCAGGUGAGGGAGAGAAAAGUCAGAAACUCACAACCAAAGCCAAUAUCAGGAGCUGGCCCACAAGUCAAACAGGAAAAUAAAGCAAAGAGAUAACGAACAAGUGGGUGUGAAAGUAAUGUUUAGCAGGCAGAGCCUAAGGAGCUGUGCUUGGUUGGAGUCAGGCAUAGAGGCUGGCAAAGUACAGAGCAUUCUAAUAUUUGAAGAAGAAAAUGGCUAUAGGCUUCCAAUGUGAUCCAAGUUGUCAGAAAAGAUAUUAGAUGAGAGGCCAUUUUGCAUGUGCAUAAGAGCUAGAAAAUUAUGUUGUCUCUAAGGAUGCAGAGGGACCUGUGAUGGCGGCUGAGACAAUGGGGGUGAAUUCUUCAUGUAUUCUUUUGUGUGUUUCUGAAAAUGCUGAGCAACUUCUUGUUUGAUGAUCUGUUAGAAUUCUGUACCUUAUCCACAGGAUCCUGGGGAUUUUUGAGUUGGGAGAUUUUCUUUUUUUAUUGGGUAUUUUCCUCAUUUACAUUUCCAAUGCUAUCCCAAAAGUCCCCCAUAUGCUCCCCCCCACUCCCCUACCCACCCACUCCCACUUCUUGGCCCUGGCGUUCCCCUGUACUGAGGCAUAUAAAGUUUGCACGACCAAUUAGCCUCUCUU
rnacentral:lncRNA from 1 species